rnacentral:rRNA from 1 species
GUGGAACACGGUGUCCGUAAGGGCCCAUGACAGGUGGUGCAUGGCUGUCGUCAGCUCGUGUCGUGAGAUGUUGGGUUAAGUCCCGCAACGAGCGCAACCCUUGUCCUAUGUUGCCAGCGGUUCGGCCGGAGACUCAUAGGAGACUGCCGGGGAUAACUCGGAGGAAGGUGAGGACGACGUCAAGUCAUCAUGCCCCUUAUAUCCAGGGCUGCACGCAUGCUACAAUGGCCGGUACAACGGGCUGCGAUCCUGCGAAGGUGAGCGAAUCCCACAAAGCCGGCCUCAGUUCGGAUUGGAGUCUGCAACUCGACUCCAUGAAGUCGGAGUCGCUAGUAAUCGCGGAUCAGCAAAGCCGCGGUGAAUGCGUUCUCGGGGAUUGUACACACCGCCCGUCACGUCACGAAAGUCGGCAACACCCGAAGUCAGUGGCCCAACCCUUUUAGGGAGGGAGCUGCCGAAGGUGGGGUCGGUAAUUGGGACGAAGUCGUAACAAGGUAGCCGU